CCGGAAGUGACGAGACAGAGGGGCCGCGCAGGCGCAGGAUGGAGGGAGAGCCCCCAUGUGAUUGUUCGGCCCAAGCGGGCCUCUCUAGCAAUCCGUGUAGUCGGGGUCGAUGAGGUCGGAGGGCAAAUCGCCGUCGUCAUUGGCAACGUCUAUGUUAGCCCCCAGGGAGAUGAGGUAUCUAAGGUGGGAAGGAAAAAGGAGAAGUUGGAAGGAUCAAAUGAGAUACAAUAAAAGGGUGAAAUACAAAAGAUGGCUAAUAUCAGCAAAUAAAAGGAAUUUCUCUUCUCAGGACAUCUAAUUUUAACUUAUUUGUUGGCCAGAUUUAGAUACCUAGGGGGAAGGAAUACUUUGGGGUGUUCUAGGAAUUGUAAUGCAAAUACUUUUUGACAUUGUAAACUACCUUUGACUCUAAGAAGAAAUGAAUCUCUCAACCCCCUGAUACUAUCAUUCUUCGUAUUGGCCCAGGCUCUUUGAACAAAUGUUUUCCAAAACAUGACCAUUAUCAGAAGAAAAAUAUGUUAUCAUAUCGGGAUUUAUUUUUCCUCCAUAUAUGUGACCAGCUUUUUAAUUAAAAGUAUGAUGUAGCUAAAACAAAAUCAAAUUGAUUUGAAAUCAAUAUUUUUGAAUCUCUGAUCUCUCUAUGCAUAAACUUCUUUUAAAGUUUUUUUUUUUUUCAAAAAAAGAAAAAGAAGACUAGCUACAUAGCUAAGUGGAACUUGAUCAACUAUCUAUCCUUUCUUUACAUUAAAUGAUUCAGCUCUUGUAGUGAAUAUGUCAAAUAAUUCCUUUUCCUAGACGGUGUAUCAACAGGCAAUAACUACAUAUCACUAUGUGCUAGCUAGGGCAAUAUGUAAGGUACAAAUACUAAAGUAAGAAUAAUACAGUUACACCUUCAAGUUACAAGGUACUUGUAAUCUAUUAAAGCAACAUUCAGUUCUAAAAAUGUGUAUAUUUUAUGGAUUACUUGCUGGGAAUGGGA